CAAGAGCAUUCUCUCCCUGUUUAUGGAGUUCCAUUUGCACUCUUUCUAAACGUCAUGCGCCCUCUCAAGGAUCUGUUCCAGCAAAACAUCGCGCACCCUUUCACGUGUCUGCUUCAGCAAAACGCCCUCUCAUGUGUCUGUUUCAGCAAAACACCAUAUGCCCUCUCACAAAACAGCGUCCACGAAAACAUCACAUGAUACAACUAAGUCUCCAAAGAAACUAGAAAUGUCCACUUCAAGGCCCCUUCCUAGCAAGGAGAAGGACGGGUUGGUCCCACUACGGAGGAAUGGUUCAAGAUGUGGACCGUCAGCUUCUGCUUCAGCCACCAGGCCUACUGCACACUGCCAGGCUUCCUCGACACGACGAACUCUGGAUCCACAAGUCCAAAUAAAGCCUUCUAUAAGUUG
rnacentral:lncRNA from 1 species